AUGGAUAAGCAAUUAAAUGGUUUAAUUGAAGAAUGGUCAAGAUUAAUUAAUUAGUUAAUUAAUUUUACGAAAAGUUCGUAUUGGGCUUUUAAGUUGGUUUUGGGCUUCGGGGCUCAAAAGCUUUUUGGUCCACAAGACCCAUUAUGUUUAAGUUGUAUGACAACUAAAACAAAACGGGCAAUUAGCCCAAUAACAAAGGUAAGGCCGGCCAUAAGGGUGAGGGUAGCAAACUUGGCUUAAUUACAAGUUUGCCACUCACUUGAAAUGAAGUAUAAAAUCAACUUUAUAGCUUUAUUUCUCAUUAGGGUUUUCUUAAAGAAAUUGGGUGAAACACUUUCUCUCAUUUUUUCUCUAAAGAGGCCGGCCACUUAGGGGAGGGAUAUCUAGCAAUCUCUUCUUCCCUAAGUCAUCCA
rnacentral:lncRNA from 1 species